GGGCCCAACCCCGGCCAGCGGUCGGAACUGCGGGACUUGAGUGCGGCCGAGGCGGGCGGAAUUCGUGGUGUAGCGGUGAAAUGCUUAGAUAUCACGAAGAACCCCGAUUGCGAAGGCAGCCCGCCAGCCCGCUACUGACGUUGAGGCUCGAAGGUGCGGGUAUCGAACAGGAUUAGAUACCCUGGUAGUCCGCACGGUAAACGAUGGACACCCGCCGUGGGCGACAUACAGUCCGCGGCCAAGCGAAAGCGUUAAGUGUCCCGCCUGGGGAGUACGCCGGCAACGGUGAAACUCAAAGGAAUUGACGGGGGCCCGCACAAGCGGAGGAACAUGUGGUUUAAUUCGAUGAUACGCGAGGAACCUUACCCGGGCUCGAACCUCCCCCGAAUCCGGCGGAGACGCCGGAGCCAGCAAUGGCGGGGGCGGAGGUGCUGCAUGGUUGUCGUCAGCUCGUGCCGUGAGGUGUCGGCUUAAGUGCCAUAACGAGCGCAACCCCUCCCUCCAGUUGCCAUCGGGUAAUGCCGGGGACUCUGGAGGCACUGCCAUCGCAAGAUGCGAGGAAGGCGGGGAUGACGUCAAAUCAGCACGGCCCUUACGUCCGGGGCUACACACGUGUUACAAUGGGGGGUACAGAGGGCCGCUGCACGGCGACGUGCGGCCAAUCCCUAAAUCCCCUCCCAGUUCGGACCGGAGUCUGGAACCCGACUCCGCGAAGCUGGAUUCGCUAGUAAUCGCGCAUCAGCCAUGGCGCGGUGAAUACGUUCCCGGGCCUUGUACACACCGCCCGUCAAGCCAUG
rnacentral:rRNA from 1 species